rnacentral:lncRNA from 1 species
UUCAUAAUUUUUUUUUUUUUAAUUUUUAUAACUUUUUUCUUCAGACCAGUUGUUUAUAAAAAUUUUACAACAUUCAAAUUUUUGUUUUUAUUUUAGUAUAGAUGCUGUAUUAUGAACAUCGUUCUGAAGGGCAUGACUCUGACCUUGACAUCCUUGAUCAACCUUGAGGGUCUCCUCUUUGAAUAUGACCUUAAAAAUCAUUCCAUAGUGCCAUAUCUAUUUGCAUAGACUUCAUGGUAAAUUAAAAAAGGGGGAAUCUAUAAAACCUGGUUAAGUCAAAUGGUCCACUCCAUUAUGACAACCUGAACAAAUUGAAAACCGGUGGUAUUUGCCUUACUUGUUUCUUUUUAUUGACAUAAUUGGUUAACAUUACAAUAAUUACGACGGAGGAGCCAAAAUUGGGUAAACAUACAACACAACUGACUUAAAAAUUCACACACUAAAAAUUCACAUACAAAAAAAUUCACACACUAAAAAUUCACACACAACGAAUUCACACGCAAAAAAAUCACACGUAAAAAUUUCACACACAAAAAAAAUCACACAAAGACAGUCACCAACAAAAAAAGUUCUUGGAGUUGCAGUAUAUAGUAAAACAAAAUGACAUACACUGGUAAAAAAAUAAAAUUUCCUACAGUUGGCGCAGUAGAUACCUCUGCUUUAUCUGACUGCAUGACGUCCAUACUCGUUUUAUUUUAGAACUCACAAUUGUCCAGUGAAGGUUAUAGUUGUAGAGGUGUUUAGAUCUCUUGUAAGUACAAGUUUCAGUACUUAUCUGUCACUAGUAAUACUGAGAAUAAAUGUCACUACAACUGAGCUUUUCCUGCAUACGAUUGGUUUCCUCACAUUACUUGGUAUUUUAUGCAAAAGUCUAUACUUUUUUAAUAUUUUGGUCUGUAGUUUUUUCCCUGAAAGUUAAAAGUAACAUUUCAUUGAGAUAUUUUAUUGGGACUGAUUCAAAC